UUCAAAUAAGGACAUUUAUUCCAGCACUCGAAGAGUAAAGGGAAGACCUGAACAAGUCAGUGUUCCUCCAAGCCAAUCAGCCUUCGGUGUAAUCAAACUGUCCAAUCAGGGAGCAGCACUGACUGAGUAUCAAGUGGAGCAGACACGGUGGAAGUGAAGAGAUGCCUCCACUAACGGGCUGUACCUGGUGACCAGCUGGAUGUCUGGUUGAUGUUGGUCCUCCAGCGGUACCACGAGACGGCGUCUACGACCCACACAAGGUCCAGCAGCUCCAUUUGACACGGAUGAGGUCAUUAACGCGCGCGGCGCCGUCAGAAGUGGAGCCAGGCGGCCGGCGGCGAACGCAGUGAGGAACAUCACAGCAGCAUCCAGAACGUCUGACCUGGAACCUGGAGAACCGAGAUCCUCAGACCUGACAGAGAGGAUUCCUCAGGAGAAACACGAUUAUGAUGAAUCUUCAAGAUUCAAAUUCAAACUUUAUACUAAAUCAUCACAAAAUCCUCAAAAUCCUGAGACCAGAACUCUGUUAUCGGAGGAUUACCUGAAGCAGAAACAAACUGCAGGAGAUCCUGUCUAAUCUAAUCUGACCAUUGAACCUGUUUUUUUAUUAACCUUUGAGUGACACUGAGAUUAAAAUCUCCUUCAAUCGCGAUCCGCUCGGCCAGGAUUCUAAUCUCAAUGGAACUUCCUGUCAGGGUGUGGAGGAGGAUCCAAACUUAACGGCAGAAACAGAACUUAUUAGAUUAACCAAAACACGACCAAAAAGAGAAAUAAAGAAGAGUGUGACAGAGCAGAUACCUGAAACCAGACUAAACACUGAAUGAAGACAUCUGAGGACGAUUGAUGUGAACGUGGGGAGACUGAAAACAGAACGUGACAAAACACGACAACAAGCAUAGAAUCGUACACACUGGAAGGUUAAAGAGAAUAUAUAUAUAUAUAUAUAUAUAUCAUGUCUUUUGUCUAGUCAGAAAGCCCCCACUCGUACUCGCACUCCUACAGUCGGUGACAAUA